rnacentral:ribozyme from 1 species
UGAUCCAACGGGUAGGACAGGCCUUGCAACGAGGUCAACAACGGGACAACCAGCUCGCACAAGUCCCGUCGUCCGUUGAGGGUCCCAACGACGAGAUCUGGGACAACCUCCGUGCCGUGAAGAUCCA